GCACGUUCUAACCUUAUAUAAGCCUCUUACAAGAUGAGUCAGAGUCAAAACAAUAACAAGUUUUGGUGUACUUAUUAGGGGAAUAGUUUUUAAUUAUAGUAAGAAGUAUAAAGUAUUCCUCAUUCUAAUUUCUACUAUACUCUGACUGCUCAAUUUCGUUUAAAUAACUUUAAAGAGUGCCUAAAACUAUUUACUUAUGAAAGAAGAAAGCAAAAUCCCAGUAUGUCCUGUUUGUUUGAAAAUUUUUUCUUCACAAUCUGUUUUAAAAAGACAUCAUCGCGAAGUACACAAGCAAGAAUGUAAUUAUCCAGUACCUUAUUCAUCAGAAACAUGUUUUACCCAUCUCUGCCUUGAGUCAGACUACUGUGGUGCAGAUGGUAAUGCUUACCGAAGCAGGAAAGAUUUAAUGCACCACCUAGAGACAUUUCAUGGGAUGCACUUUGAAAAACUGUAUUACAUUUUGAAAACAAUGGAAGAUUUUGAAGACUGGAAAUCCAAUAUAGAAAAUGAAACUAAUUCACAUUACCGUUACCACAGCAGAAAUAAAAGUUCAUCUGGAGAAAAAAUAUAUUAUAAAUGUAACUGGAGUAAGUUGGGUCCGACAAAACCGAAUGAUACAAGAAAAAGACGGCUUAAAAGGGGAGGAUCUUGGAAAAUGAACAAUUCAUGUACUAGUUCAAUUUGUGUAAUGAAAGAAAAAGAUAAAAUUACAGUGGAAUGGCAUAAAACUCACUAUGGUCAUGACACCAAUCAUCCUCCAAGACGUAGUCAGAAAAAUAACAAAGGUAAAAGAACAGACUUGGAUGAUAAAGAAUUAGACAAUGAAGAAGGAAAUACAGUUUAUCAAAUAAAAUCAUUGGAUGAUUCCCAAAAAUGCCCCAAAUUAAAGGAACAAAGUGUUACCACCCUUGAAGAGACAGAUGCAGUAACUUUUGAGAUAGUAGAGAACCAAGAUAAACAAGUUAGAACUUCUCUUGAUGUGAUUUUCAAUGACCACAAAUAUUGUUGACAUCUGUAAAAAUAAUGUAAUAUUAUAGUACUGCAAUAAAAACAACAUUUAUUUAUUGAA